rnacentral:rRNA from 1 species
UACGUAGGGGGCUAGCGUUGUCCGGAUUUAUUGGGCGUAAAGGGCUCGUAGGCGGCCAACUAAGUCGGAUGUGAAAUCCCCAGGCUCAACCUGGGAACUGCGUCUGAUACUGGAUGGCUUGAAUUCGGGAGAGGGAUGCAGAAUUCCAGGUGUAGCGGUGAAAUGCGUAGAUAUCCGGAGGAACACCAGUGGCGAAGGCGACACGCUGGGCCGUACCUGACACUAAAACGCGACAGCAUGGGGAGCGAACGGG